rnacentral:rRNA from 1 species
UACGUAGGGGGCAAGCGUUGUUCGGAAUUACUGGGCGUAAAGGGCUCGUAGGCGGCCAACUAAGUCGGAUGUGAAAUCCCCAGGCUCAACCUGGGAACUGCAUCCGAUACUGGAUGGCUUGAAUCCGGGAGAGGGAUGCAGAAUUCCAGGUGUAGCGGUGAAAUGCGUAGAUAUCUGGAGGAAUACCGGUGGCGAAGGCGGCAUCCUGGACCGGCAUUGACGCUGAGGAGCGAAAGCUAGGGGAGCAAACGGG